CACCUGGAUCUCAGACUUACAGCCUCCAGAACUGUGAGAAAUAAAACUUCUAUUGUUUAAGCCGUAUAAUCUGUGAUAUUUUGCUAUGGCGGCUCAAGCAGUUUAAUACACGUAUACUGUCCAAUUUGAUGUUCACAGUCACCUGAUAAGAUAGGUACCCCCAUUUUCAGAGAGGGAGAGAUGGAGGCCUAGAGAGAAUAACAUGCUUUUGGUCACACAUAGUGGCACAACCCUGCUUUAAACCUGGACUGCCUGAACCCAACGCUCAGGAACAAGAAAAGCAGAAGUGUCUGUCCUCCAAGACCUUAGAAAUUAGCUGUAGGGGCAUGACUAAAAUGCCUGCACUAGACUGCGCGGGCGCUGCCCUAAUCACUCCCUCAAUUUCCUGUUCUGAGUUUCUGAUGACCCAGGGCACGUGUCCCCUUUGACACCUCCUACUCCCUCCUACUCAGUCCAACACCCCUCUCUCCCAAAAGCUUUCUUUGCUCUCAGAUGCCAACAUCUCUCAGCUCAUCACUCCAGAAGCCCUUGGCAGCACACAGCUGAUUUGCUUCUGUCUUUUAUCACUUCAUCCCUAAUACUCACCCCCACCUCCCAGUUUCUUCCCUCCUGGGUCUCCUCCAUCAGGCUGUCCCCUUCAUUCCCCAGGCACCUGCCCCCACCGCAGCCCACACGACCUCUCCCUGGGGUUGCUGCAAAAGCUUCCAGAUCUGUAGCUCUGCUUCGAGCCCGACCCGAUCAAGCGCUUAAUUCAAACUCUGUUGGAUUCUUCCAUGUGGGGUUGGCCGUUUAGUUCUCAUGAAGAUUCCAGUAGCACUGAGGGCAGCGGCUACACCCUUACCUUUCCUUUAUGCUUCCUAAUGGCAAGAGUGGUUCUGACAUUUUUUUCCCUUACUAUCAAGCACUCUUUUGAGAAUCCAAUGAAGACAAUGGACUCUCCCAGGAACAAAACACGUAUACAAAAAAAUUGGCUGACAGCUCCAUACUGCCAGAGGUUUAUGACCCCUAAGUUAAGACCCCUGCUCUCUGGGCACUGAUCACGAGGCUGGACAGCCAGCAAAUGUGCACCCCAUUUCCUGCUCUCAGCCCUGGUGAAUGUUACUGAAAAGCCACUUUGUGCAUGAAGGUUCAUGAGGGCGGAAGUCGUCUGGCAGGGCUUGACUAAGGUGGGGCUGGAUCUAGAUUUUCAGGUAUGGGUAGGAUUAAAGAAGGAGGGCAGGGAAAAGGGUAUUCAAAGCAGGGGAAAAUGCAUGAAUGCGGGCACGGCGUGGAGGGCAUCAAGGUGAGCCACUUGAAGAGCUGUAAGAGCAGGCUGGACAGGAGCGCCAAGGAGGUGGGAGUGUAAGGUCGUAUCAAAUCUGACUUGGCACAGAGGGCAAUGAGGAGCCUGUAUGAGUUUCUAAGCAGAGGAAACACGUGAUGAUAGUGACGUUCAAACAAGUGGACAGAGAAGAGAAGAGAGGCGGGCAGGAAGCAGAAAGGCUGGUUAAAACAGCUUUGAUGGUAGCAGUGGGAAUGGAGAGGCAGAGAAGAACUGGAGGAAUGUUCCAGAAGAAGAACCAGGAUCUGGUGAAGGAUGGAAUAAGGGAUCCAGAGUUGGAAGAAGCCUGGGAGAUUGGCAGGGCAGUGAAGCAGGGGGCAAAACCAUGGGUGGUACCUUCCUCACAGGACGGUGUGCCAUGCGCCAGACGAAAACCAGCACAGAUGUCCCCUUUAUCAACUUAGUCUAAACCAGACGCCAGUGUAUGUAUGCACCCAAUAUGCUUCCCAGAAAACCUGCAGUCAGUUCUACCAAAUUCUAUUGAGUGAAAUAAACACAUGAGUAAUGUUUCCAGGAUGAACAUUAAAAUGCCCACAUUGAAAACAUCCCAGAGAACCAUCUAUUCUAGGGAGCACAUGGUGCCCUGCGUGGAACCUGCUUUUAAUGCAACAGCAUCUAAUCGUCAGUCACGUCCUCAUUCUGCUGCCUAAGGCAUUCUCUACCAGAGCAGCAUUAAUAACGCCCACUAGCAUUUCUGUUGGCUUCACAUAGCUCCACUUCACGGUCUAACGAAGGCAUGCCCAGGGGUUCCGAUCUUGGCAUCAUCUGAGGGUGCGCGUGCAUCUAAGGAUGCUCUCACAGGAGACAGUCACUUGUCACAAGCCUUUGCAUAGGCACAAAAGCGUGUUGAAGCAGCAGCAGCAGCAUUGCUCACCCAGGUUCCCCACGCACAUCAAAAUUGCCCUCCAGCACCGAGCUGUGUGUAUGUGUGCCUGGUAACAGUUGGAAGUUGAGACUAAGUUAAGUUUAUUGAUGCUGGGAUGAUACAAACUACUUCAGUGUCUGAAACUUUCUCCAUUGUGCUCAACCAUUUUAAGUUAAAUAUGGCAUGAACUUAAAUUUGGGGCAGGGGGCGGGUGGGGAGAGCAACUCAUCAUCGCUUUGUAAAUUAAAACAGUGAGUUCUAAUUGUUCAGAGGAAGACCAGAUUCAAUAAAGACACAUUCCAACCAGGUUGGAGGAGGUGCAGGCUUACCAUUAGGACAGAGGCCCAAGGGCGCCUGGGACCAGCCGUAGGCUGGAGGAGUCAGUGUGAAUUAAUGGCAAUGGGGACUACACACUGGGUCCUGUUCCCCACCUCCCACCCCCAGAGCCUUCACUAGUUGGGGAGGCACACUGCCCAAACUUGUACUGUGCUUCUGGGGUGAGUUAACUUUUAAACAUUAAAACAAGCAGUCAAAAUAUGAAAGAAAAUUUCAAGGCUUUGACAUUCUUUUCACCUUUUUUGUUGAGUCUCCCUGUACCUCCAAAAAUGAUUCCUCAGGUUAUCAGAUGCUUUGUUGCUGAAAGUUAGGAGUCUUUAGCAGAGGAGCUCAGGCACCAUAGAUGAGCUCUGAAUGGCAGCUUUGAAGAAUGUUUAAAUGAAGCUGUGGUUUGGGGCAUUUUCCAGCACAGAAUUCAGUAGACACAUUUGAUUUCCAUGACUAUUAGCACAAGAGAGAGUGUUUUAAAUCAGGCGUGCUAUGUAUGCAGUUCAAUACUUCCUGACAGGAGCUUACAUCAAGCAAUCUGGAUGACCCACGUGCUAUCAGAAUGUUGGUCCUGGUUGUUCUUAUUAUUUGGUCUGGAAAGAUCUUGAGUUAGCUCGUCGGUGCCAAUGGUUCCACGUGAGUGGCCUGGGAGCUCUCCUGAGCAGCGUGCUGUCUUUUCUAGAGCUAACCUCCCUUCCCCACUUGGCUUUAAGGCCAACCACAGUCUCUCUCAGGGUUUGAGAGAGCAAGGCUGGGUUAGGGGCAGUGACAUCAGGUGUCCCACAAUGGGAGCACACAUUCCUUCCUCUUAGAAAUAGACCUAUAAGCUGAGGUCAACCAGACAACUUCUAGAAACAGGAAUAGAAGGAGCAGAAGCAAGGGUCAAGCUGGAUGGGCUCAGCUUUGUUGUCUCUCCCCCCCAGGGAGUGGAGGAGAGGCGGGAACGGAAACACUGCCUGUGCAUUUACCAUGUGGCUCUUGCUAUCUUACCCCAUGAGCCAGCCAUCAUGAUUCCCAUUUUGGAGAUAUGGAAACAGAGUUCUGGGGCUCUGGACACUUAUUAUUCUAUAUACAUUUGGUUGCUUGCUUUUUGAAAGUGUUUUGUGUAGGAAGCAAAGUGGUGCGAGAUGGAACUGAUAGCUAAAAUGCAUUAUUAGAUGCUCUGUGAAUGUCAUCUAUGGUUACUAUUCGUUGGCCUGUGUGAUUCUCAGGAAGGGUGGCAGCCAGGGAAAGAUGGUCCAACACAGUGUUUCAAUGAGUUACUGCAUCCUCAUGGGGUACAACAUUGGCUCAAGAACACAAGGUCAGUCCUCCUAUAGGAACCGAUCAUGGAGAUCCAUUUAAGACCUGACCAUUCCUCUCUGGCAUAAACUCUGCUCAUGAACAGCAUCACAUGCUCUCGGGCUGCUUCGUUCUUUCCCAUAGAAUUCUGAUUCUGUUUGGAUCUCGAGUUUGACCACAAAACCAAACUAGACCAAACCAACUACCAAAUAAACAACCAAAAAAUAUGUUUGUUGGAUUCAUCAACAUGUAUUUAAUAGUCCGACCCAUCCACCUGCCAGUCAUCUAGGAAGUAACCUUGCUGUGCCUGACUUUCCACAUAUGAGAAGUGGAGAUGUGUAUAUUUUCCCUCAUCUACCCCGGAGGGAUGGUGAAAGGAUUACUGAGACAAUAGCCAUAAAGCUAUUUGAGCUUCUUACCAAAAGGUGCUACUGGAAUACAAAUUAUUAUUAGCAUUACCAUUGUUACAUGGUUUAAAACUACAAUAUGAAAAGCAGGGUCUAUAGAUCAGUGUGUCAGCAUCCUGCAUAGCUUAAGAUCAGUUUGAAGUUGGUUGUCUUUGCAUGCUUGGGUCCUAUAUUAAAGCAUUCUUUGCAUGAAAGCAUAUUCAAGGGGCCAGAUGUAGUCAUGCUGUAAGAAGAAUAACGAAGGUGCAAGAACAGACAUGCACAGGUAACACCUGUGGAAAAUGGAUGUUUGAGCUCACAUUUCUGUAAUGGGUGUUUAUGUUACACAGUCCCACUGUGGUGGAGUUGGGGGGACUCUCACAAAGCUUUAUUAAGUGCUUAAUGUACAGAGUGUGUGACCUGAGAUCAGCUAGAAACAGAUACUGAAAUUUUGCUUUGAUAAGCGAAGCAUUUUGAUAGAAACUAAAACUGCGGUAUCACUGCACAUUCUUUCUUGGGGACAAAUAUGAUAUUUCUAGUCAUUUAAGACCCUGCCCAGGGUUUGAUCCUUGAGAAGCACCCUGGAGCACAGGCAAGAACAUGGGCUCUGGAGUCAGACAUGCCUGGGGCCUCAGGCACCUUGGUUUCUAGCCAUAAAAACGGGGACAAUAACAUCUACCUCAAAGGUUGUUGUGAAGAUCACAUAAUGAAAUGUGCAUAAAGAACCCAGCACCAGAGUAGGUCCUCUUUAAAGAUUAUUCUUGUUCCCUGAUGUUUGGCAUGUUUGAAGCAUCUAUAUUGUUCUUCAAAUACAAUUGAUAAUGCUAGCAUGCAAAAAAACCCCCCUACUUUUGAAUACUAAAUUUAAAUGUUGGGCAACCCAGAGGUGAUUUUCUUUUCUAUAGGUAGCUCACUAAAAAAGACAUUCUGCAAUUGGACAGGCCCAUUUAGAACAGGCUCAUUAGAACAGCCAUGGAGCGCAUUCCAGAGUAUUCCUAAGGGUCUAAAUUCCCAGGGAUAUCAUUCUGCAGGCAGAGUUUAUUCUUAGACAGUUUAAUCCCUCCAACGGUGUCUCUGCAAAGUUCUUCCUCUGAAUUCUGAGGUCAUUCUAAUUCUUUUCUCUUGGGGCACAGAGGUCCUGUAUAAUUUACUGCUCCCUUCUUCUUAUUGAGUGUUCCUGUACUUUAAAAUGCCUUUUAAGGGCCAUCUAGAAAAGGACGGAAAAAAUGGUACAAAAAUGGAGGUGGGGUGAGGGGGGGAAAUUUUGCAAGAGUUUGGUGUAUGACCCUGCACCCCAGGCCCCAGCCUCCAUACAGGAAAUGCUCCGGGGCCACGCUGCGGCCUCCAUAGAGGCCCACAGACUUUCACAGCAAUUCGAGCUGACGGAGGUGAGGCCCCUCACUUCUCUGGCAAUUAUGAGCCUGUGGCAAUAAAAUAGACACACGCAGCCACGCAGCCACUGUACUCCAGAAGUUUUCUUGUUUGACAGUUGCAGAAUUAACACCAAGUGCCUUCAUAAUAAAAGCUAGGGUGUCGGGGCAGGAAGUGGGGUGGUGUUCUUUAACAUUUGCUCUGUGGCCCCUGAUGAGCUGGAUUCACACAUAACAUGAGACACCUGCACUCGGUGACUUGAAGGAGUUUUGCGUUAGUUGGUAAGAGAAGAGAAGAGGAGGAAUGGAGGAGAGAGGCCAUCAAGAUGGAGCCAAUGGAAUGGCUCUUCAAACAUACUCUGCUCAGAAUAUCCCGAGAAGCCGUGAAAACCAUGGGGGGCUGGGGUGGGGAGCAGUCAUUUAUUCUAAGCUUCGCGGGGUUCCUCAUUUAUUAUCACCUCAGGACUGUCGCCGCUAAUUUUCCUUUUCUUUACAAAGGGGCCAGUGACACAAAUUUAAAAAAAUUACAAAAACAAUAGAGGAAAACUCAAAGGGUUUUAUAACAUACUUAGCAUACCAAUUCUAGAAGUGAAUUUCUGGAUGUUUUCAAAAAGGACAAACUUUCUUCAAGAAAUUCAAAAAUUCAUGCUGAAAUUGACAUUAAUUUAGAAAAGCUGAAAUGAGCGAACACAUAGCUCAUUUGACACUAAAUGGAAGCAAUAUUAUUCCAAAUAAAAGUAAAAAUAUGUUAACAAACCAGACACCAAUGUUGUGUACAAAGUAAUAUUGAAUACAAUAUCGUUUUCUAAAAGCUUUUUCUUACUAAAAUAUAUCAAGAAGUCUUUAAAAAUGAUUACUUCUUCCUGUGAUGCAGAAAUGUGUCUAGUUAACAUAGGAAUAACUAAGAUGGAGAAUUGCUUUGGCCUCAUGCUAUUUUUAACACCUAAAUUUCAUGAAGGAACAAAUGGUUUCUUUGAAUAGUUCUUUGCAAGCAUGCCUGUUUUAAUCAGAAUGCUUGUGCAAUGCAUAAACUUAGCUGUAUCAAACUAAGGCGAAACACAGUGUAGACAACUGGAGAGUAAUUUGUUUGAUGUGGACCCUAAGCAACUACAAACCCUAACUUAAAACACAUCACUGUCCGUACUUCGAAAGGAAAAGACUAGCAUUUCUGGGGCACUCUGGGUUUAUUUCUCCAGAAAUAGAAGAAAUAAAGCAGCCACUUUUAUAAGUUUGGACAUAUUUACAGCAUUGCUUUAUUUUCUUAAAGCAUAGCAGCAUCCAUUCAUCACUUGAGAAUAACAAAGCAGUAACCUGAUAUAUGACAAAUAUUAUGAGCUUAAUGGCUGAUGUCCAUUACCGAUGGGUCCUGUUCCCUCUUUGGAGGAGACUGGCACUGAAGGAUUACUGAGUAAACAGCACACCUGAAAAAACUUGCGCUCCACAGUCUGUCAUCAGGGCUCUGAUCGAGGGCAUUACCUGAGAACUGUGGCUCUUAUCUGAAGCUGCAAAUUGCUGCCACUGCCAACAAUCCUCAACAAAGAGCGGCCGUCAGGGAAGGCUGAGCCACCGAGGCAGGCGGCGGGGGAUGCCGCCUCUCCAUCGCCCGCCCCCUUUGUGGAUCACCUGAGCCCAAGCACCGCACCAUCCUUUAAUCGUGGAUGACCACAGCAACUGAGGACAGGCAUCCCACAUCUGUAUGUGCUGAAAAAAAGGCUCCAAGCAUUCUCUUGUCAUCCUAUAAAAUAUUUAGCAUCUAAACCGCAUCUUUAAUUUCACAACCAAAGGACCUCAUAUGCCUGAGAACUAAACUUGUCCUACUGGUUUGGCCCUCAUGAAAAGUGUUGUUCAGCCAAGCGAGACGAAACAUGUGACAAUGCUCUGAACCCAUAACGGGAACAGUGAAAAUAAAAUGAGAUCAAAUUUGCAUAUAGCCAGGGACAAAAGACUUCCUACCAAAAAGAUAGUAUAUUGAAUGAUGUAAUUCCACAAAAUCAGAGACACCAGAUGAAAUCAAUGAUGAAGGAGAAGACUUGGAAGAAGAAAACAACUUCAGUCUACGGGGUGCCAUAUUCUGGAUGUGGGUCCACCAUUGGUAACACCUGCCAGAUAGAUCUGCCAUAGUUUAUUCUCCAAACCCCCACCUGCUGUGUUAUUUUUUUUCUGGUUUCUCUUUUUGUCCUAGCUAAAGAGGACACCUGUGUCAUCAUUAAGAACCCUGGGCAGGCCAGGGCUGCACCUCUGUAGUGUGGAAGCAAGAGCAGCUGGGAUUUUCUCCUUCCCUUCUCCUCAUCGCAUGAAAACAAAGGAGCAGGGAUGUAAGGGACAGCAUGGUGACUAGAGUUAACAAUACUGUAUCGUAUACUUGAAAGGUGUUAGGAGAGUAGAUCUUAAAUGUU